rnacentral:tRNA from 1 species
GCCAAUGUAGCUCAGUUGGUAGAGCAGCUCACUCGUAAUGAGCAGGUCACCGGUUCGAAUCCGGUCAUUGGCU